AAGCAAGCAGCCUUGAACAAAUCAUUCAACUCAUUGCAGCUGAUAUAUCCAUUGCCAUCGGUAUCUGUAACGCAAAGGACGCACUGAAGCCGUGGGACCAUUCAGGCUGAGCGCACAGAGGCAAGGGGGCACUAGCGAGCAGGCAACCUAACUGGGGAGGAAGAGAAUACAGGAUUGAGAUCUGUGCAAGUUAAUUCUAAAGUACCACACGAAGCGGUGAUUCCUGUUUACUUAAUGGAGAAAUAGUCUUUUGCAUCUCUCAUGGUGUCUCUCUGCUGUGGCCUGGGAAAGCAGUGGAAGAUGAAUCAAGUACUUGGGCUGCUGCACCCACGUGGGAGACCCGGAAGAAGCUCCUGGCUCCUGGCAGUGCAGCUUUAGCCAUUGUGGCCAAUUGGGGAGUGAAGCAGCAGAUGGAAGAUUUCUCUCUCUCUCUCUCUGCCUCUCCUUCUCUCUCUGUGUAACACUUUCAAAUAAAUAAAUAAAUCUUUAAAAAAAGAAAGUAAGUCAGAGGUAGGCUUUUUCUCAGUCCUGCAUGCGGUGGUCUCCGAGCAUGACCCUCAACAAUUUACCCCCUCCCGCCAUGUAUACACAUUGCUUUUCACAUCAAGAGCUACAGCUUAUUCCUCUCCCCUCAGUUAAGGGCUGGGCUUGCGGUUGCUUUGACAGCAGGUGAUGUGAAGAACAUCUGAAACUGGAAAUCUUGGCCUCCUUCCUUUUGGAUUAGGAUACUCCCUCUUGGUACCACACUGCUGUGCUGUGAGAUGCUGAAGCCACACAAAGAAGUCAAUGAAUGAGAACUGGGUGCUUUGAUUGACAGUCCUUGUUGAGCUCCCAGAUGACAGCCAGCAUCAACUAGCAGCCACCUGAGAGCCCAUCUGACCUAAAUAACCAUGGUCCCAGCCAACAUCACAUGGAGCAGCAAAGCCACUGAGCUGUGCUCAAUCAGAAUACAGAAAUAUUUUUGUAGUUUGUCAUACAGCAAUACACAACUAACACACUUUGACAUACAUGUCUUUUUUACACACUUUUACAUAAAUGUCUUCAUAUUCAUAGUACAAAUGACAUGUUUAGCAAAGCCAACAAGUACAUUUUAUAACUUCAAAUGGAGCCAGUUGUCUAUAUAUUUAUGGAUGAAUGAAGGGAAUCUGACCCUUUAAUAAUUCAUAUAUUGCAUUUGGGGGCACUGUUUGUUUCCUUUGAAGAAAGCUAGUCUUGCUGACAGACAAUGCUGGUCCUUGACUAAGUUCCUUUUCCCUGUGUGCAUUAUUGCUGUCCUCUAGUGGGGAGAAAGAGAAUGAAACAGAAAGUACAUUCUCUUUCCCAGGCCCUUAGCUAAUCCACACCUGCAGGUUUCCAAUAGGCUUAUUGGAUCUCCUGGUGGGAAGAGUUAAGUGGAAUGGUGAGAGUGGAGGAUGGAGUAUUUCAAUCUAUAAUUAUAUUUUGUGGAUACUUUAGUGGAAAUGAUUUUCCAAAUACUUUAAAUUUGUGACAAGCUGUUUUAAAUUGAUUUCAUCUUGGUAUUUUUGUACCAUUCUAUAUUGUUGUUUUGUUCUUGAUGGCAACUUACAAGCACACAAAAAAGGAAGCAUUUUUAACACUGAAACCUAUAGACCCCAAAUAUAUGACACUCGAUUUUACAAAUCCACAUCCAUUAUCCACCAACUUAUUAUCCUGCUGCAUACAUAUGUUGGUGUUUUCAAACUUUUGCUUCCCCAAGCAACUCUUUAUUGACAAAAAUGUCACAUUGAUAUAAAGCCAACAAAGCUGGAAUUUUGAGUCUUUACAAAACAGCAAUUUUGAGAGUCUUUGUUUGAAAAUAAUACAAAUGUCCUUGGCACUCCCUUCAUCUUAUUUUCUUGUUACCUGAUUGGUCUAUGAGAACUAUAUAUAUAUAUAUAUAUAUAUAUUUUUUUUUUACAGGCAGAGUGGAUAGUGAGAGAGAGAGACAGAGAGAAAGGUCUUCCUUUGCCGUUGGUUCACCCUCCAAUGGCCGCCGCGGCCGGCGCACCGCGCUGAUCUGAAGGCAGGAGCCAGGUGCUUCUCCUGGUCUCCCAUGGGGUGCAGGGCCCAAGUACUUGGGCCAUCCUCCACUGCACUCCCUGGCCACAGCAGAGAGCUGGCCUGGAAGAGGGGCAACCGGGACAGAAUCCGGCGCCCUGACCGGGACUAGAACCCGGUGUGCCAGCGCCGCUAGGUGGAGGAUUAGCCUAUUGAGCCGCGGCGCCGGCCCGAGAACUAUAUAUUAAUUCAAUUAAAAUCCAAUGUUUUAUCAAUACAAUUUUUAUUUUUAUUAUUUGCUUUAUAUAUCUAAGAAUAUAGUAACCCAUUGGGUUAUCUGAAGGAAAAUAAACAUUUUUGAGAUCUUAAUUGUAGAAAUAAACAAAAUCUCAUUUAUAUAUUAUAAUAACACAGAGGCAGAUACUGACUAGUUCAGUUUUUGUCUCCUUCCUUCCUACCCUCCCUCCUUCCUUCUGUCUUCUUUCUUUCUUUCUCUCUCUCUCCUCUCUCACUCUCUCUCGGCUUUAUCUACAAAUAAUUUUGAGCUAAGACACAAGGAUAUAUCCAAAGCCAAGGGUUAAGCUGACUAAAUGAUGCAACUGAUGAAAAGGAAAGUAGUGUGCAGGUGAAAUAAGAUGACGGCAGGGAGAGACUUUACUUAAAAUACACACACAGAGAUCCUGCAUGCUUUGGCAGACGUAGGCUGAAAAUCUAACUCAGGUUCUCCAUGGGCUAAUGCAAAGAGCAAAGUGUCAUCAGUUCUGUGAUUCCCUCCAUCCGUGUGAGACAAACAAACCCAUUCCUUCAGGCAACAGAACUGAGGUCUGACAACAAAAUCUUCAUCUAGGCUUUAAGAAGAGGAUGCUGGGGGUGCAAUAAACAAAAGCUUUGUUUUUCUUAUAAUGUCCCUCUCUGUAGGAUGAUGGCAUAUUCUCAUUUUAUAGAGUAGGAAACAAGCUCGGAGGGGCUAAGAUCUGUAUCUCAGAUCACACAGCUGGGCAGAGGCACAGUCAGGACCCAGUCUCAAGUCUUCACUCCUCUCCUACACCAUCUACUCAGCUUCCACACCUUCAAAUUCAAAACUAGACACUCAUUCUACCCACUCCUUCAUUCACUCAGCAAUUAUGCAUUAAAUGUCUAGAGUAUGUAUGGCCCCAUGGAAGAAUUCAAAAAUAACCUGUAAUGAGCCUAAGCAUUCCAACUGAGGAUCCUUCUGCACUCAUAGGCUAAGGGAUCAGGCUUCUGGUUGAAGACAUUAGUGUACAAUUCUGGGUAUGCUGUUAAAUUUUGGUGACUGAUUUCACUUGCCUCUCGCUUACACCCAUGCUCCACAAAUGCAUUAACAGAAGGCUCCCCCAUGAACAGAAGGAACAUCUUGUGGUAAAAUCUGGCCUAAACCCUACAGCUGGCUUGCACUUCAUACAUUCAGUGUCUUAACCUCUUGAUUCCUAGGUGUUCAUGGGACCAUGAGAUAUAUCUGUUCAUUAACACGUUUUAUGACUACCCACUAUAAGCAGGCACUGUUCUUCAUUCAACAUGAAACAAGUCUAUACUGAGUCAGUUAGUAACCCUAGAAGCAAGGAGGAAAAACAGAAUCUCUGGAUCUCAACCUGCCCUGCCCUUUGGUGUAGGAAUGUUAGAUUUUAGAGCCCUGUAAGAGACUGGUGAGAAAGCGAAGCACCAGUAGGGAAUGAAACCAUUUGUUAAGUGUCAAGAGCAGGGUCAGAGAAGAAACAAAAGAAGUGCAGUGCUGGGUAAUAAUGAAAAUCUUUAAAAAAUUUAAAAAAGAUUAUGGUAUAGUGAAAAAAGUAAAGCAAAUAUUUCAGCAUUAACACCAACAUUGUAUGACCCAUUCAAAUAAAAACAGAUGAAGAAAAAAACAGGUUAUUUUAAAAUCAUGUCCUUUGAAUCUAUAAUUUAUUUAUUUGAGGGGGAGAGAUAAUAACAGAGAGAGAGUAGGCUCCCAUCUGCUGGUUCACUCCCCACAUGCCCACAAUGGGGCCAGGUUGAAGACAACAGCCUUCAACUCCAUCCAGUUCUGCCACAUAAGAGGCAGGGACUCAACUGUUUCAGCCAUUACUACUGCUCCCCAGGUGCACAUUAGCAGGAAACUGUAUUCAAGAACAGAGCCAGGACUUGAACCCAGGCACUGAUAUGGGAAGUGGGUGUCCUAACGGGCAUCUUACCCUGAGACUAAAUGCCAUCCCCACCGUGUGGUUUUUAAACCAUGGCAGACAGGUCAAUAUGCAAAAUUUUCAGCAUCUGUAACAACACUUUGCUAACACAUUUGUGAGUGGGGAGGAUCAUCAGACAGAAACCACCUAGUGAGAAGUAUGUCAAAUCACAAAAAUCCAACCCUUCACUGACUUAACAGCUAAAGCAAAAGAGAAGUGGAUUGAAUUAGUUUAAAAGAUGAACUGGAGAAGGACUGGCCAAUGGCUAAGUUGCUGUGACACAGUUUGUUGUUGUUGGACCCAAACACAAAUAGGUAUCUGGGUAGAGUCUUUUUUUUUUUUUACCAUUCCAGGAGCAUUGAGUCAUGGAAACACAACCUAACUUUUAGGAACAUAAGGAAGCUUAGGAAUAACUUAUUUCAACUCCCUCCUUUCAUAAGAGAAGGAAAUGAAAGGUACAAUGAGACGAGAUGCUGUCUAUGCACACAUUCCUUAAGGCAGUGCCAGGCGGGCAGUGGCAAAGGGGCAGAGCAGGGAAAGGAUAGAAUUCCCAGGGCCAUUAACGUCCACAACAGAGAAGAGACCCUUUAGCUAAUUGAACUGAAUGUGCAUUUGCAGAAAGCAGAGCAACAGGAAGAGAACAUAAUUAACUUAAAAAACAUGCAGGUCAGGCCAUUUCGAAGAAUACUGUUGGUGUUAGAAACAAACACUGGUUACAUAGUCUGCCUUUGCCUGGGGGAAAAGCAUCCAAUUUAAUUCAUGCUUAUUUCAAGGUGUGAGUUACCAGAACAUUAGUAAAAUUAGUAAGGAUAACUGGUGAGAGCUACAGUUUGCAAAUCGCUGGCACUAUAUUGGCAGCAAACUGGAGAGACCACUGCAGUCAUGGGUCACGUGCAGUGUUACGUGUGGUGUUGGGAGCCUGAGCAGAGGGCUGCAGAGGGCACGGGUCGUCCAAGGCGUGAGCAGGCAGUUCUUUCAGAGUUGCUUUACUGCUCUGCAUCCACGCUGGCCCUUAUUUAAUGACUGCAUCGUCUAAGUUUGCCCUGCCCUAAGUUUGACAUCUUAAGUUCUCUUGUGCAUCAGUGGUAAAUUUUGGAACUCUGCUUCUGACUUAAUGCCGACAUCAUAAAUCUAAGAAGACAAAUCUCAGAUCAUCCAUCCACAUCAUGUCUGGUUGCUAGAGUGCUUUCUGUGAGCACUUACAUUUAUUAAAUCAGUAGCUGUAGCUGUGCCUCUUCUGAUCCAGCUCUCUGCUAUGGCCUGGGAAAGCAGUAGAAGAUGGCCCAAGCGCUUGGGCCCUGCACCUGUGUGGGAUACUGGAGGAAGCUCAGAUCGGCUUAGCUCCAGCCACUGAAGCCAUCUGGGGAGUGAACCAGCAGAUGGAAGACCUCUCUCUCUGCCUCUCUCCCUCUCUCUCUCUCUAACUCCACCUCUCAAAUAAAUAGAAAAAUAAAUAAAAUCUUAAAAAAAACCCAGUAGCUGUAGACCCCAAGACGUUUGGUCAAAGAAUGUACCAAGCAUUCACUUUUAAAAAAACUGAUAAGAUCAUUUUAAAAAAUUUCAAUUCCCUUAGGACAGUAAAGUUUGAGUUUCUGCUUAAAGGGAGCUGGUACUUCCCAGAUCGGCAGUGAAAGGGAAUUUCUGAGAAUGGUUAUUAUGAAAGUACUCGACACAAGGUUCCUGAAGUCUGAAUAGAGAAACUACUUGCAGGAGUUUAUUAUCGAACGCAGUGCUGCAGAAUUUACAGGAGGAAGUGAAGCCUCUGACGUGCAUGUAAAAGUGUAACUGGAAUUUCUCUGAGGAGUUUCAGAACUGAUCAUGAACACAGAAGAAAGGAGAGAGAAAGGAGUGAGAUGCUCCCGGGUGACAACCACUCCUGGAAGCUGGCAGUGCUGUGCUGGCCAUGUUGUGAUUCAAUACACAGAUGCCCAGUUACAUAACCUGGCAGGAUCAGGGAGGCACCUGUAACCUGGCCUUCUAACACCAAGGAACUCUUUUGAAUGUGUCCCACUUUUCCUGCAACCUGACUCGGUGGUUAAAGUAAAACUGGAUACUCAGGACUCAAAUUCCUGAAGCUCUACCUCAAUAUUUUUAGUACACAUCCAGCACAGUGGAAUUAUCCAGCUUCCAAACUCCUCAAGGCUUAAUGAGUAAUCCAAAACACCAUGGCAUCUAGAACAACACGAAUAUCGCAAUCUUUAGCAUUAGACUAGGAUGACUAAAGAAAUGAAACAUAAAACAUAUAGUACUCGGAAGCAAAAUAAAGUACCCAUAUACUCUUAUAGAAAGCCAUCAAGAUACAACCAAAUAAGGAAAAAAAAAUCUUUGCUUUCACUUAAUCCCACCUUCUUCGUGUUACAAAGCAGCCUGCAGGAGGGGCUCCGACUUUGAGAAUACGCAGUAGCUUACUCUGUAUUCUCGGGAGACCAUUUCCCGGAUGGAUACGGGGUUGCCUGACUUUUGGGUAAAGGAUGAUUCUGAAAGUACAUUUUAAAAAUAACCUCAUUUUCAAAAACCAAAUGGCCUUACGUGGCCUCAGCCAUCUAAAGGGACACUCCUGAGCCAUUCCUGAAGCCACGGUCUCCUCUAGGUUGUCUUCCUCGUCCUGUGGGCGUGCUGCUCUCCCCUGGUCUGUGCCAGAGUGCAGCCUUCUAAUCUCUGCCUCACGUGGAAGGGCAGACAAGGCUGGGCACAGAGAUUCUCCUCGGACACCCUCCGGGUGGUGCAGACUCACGGGAAGCCAGCGGCUGGUUGCUCCAAGCCUGAUGAGCCCGGGACUACACUGGGAGCCUCUGUGGCAUUGAGCACUCCACGGAGGGGCUCCUGAAGCCGUGUGGAGUCAGGCACACAGGCGCGGGCCCCCUCACCGACCACGGAGUUCUCAUCCUUGCCUCCUGCCCUCUGAUACCUCCCCCCCACCCCGACAUUGCCAGCCACAUUUCUGAUACCUCCCCCAUUCCUGAUAACCAGCCCUAGUGACACACAGCCAAGCUCUUGUGAGAAAGGGGACACUCCAGGCUGGGGCUUCUCGGUGACUCAGCUCCUCUCUCCUUCCCUAGGCUGUAGACAGUGAUGCUCGCCAUGCUACAUCUGGAAAAUCCACAGCCCCUCUCCAUUUGGGGCUUGACCACAGGGACUUUACGAUCCAGACUUCGCCCCUACUGAGGGCUCAGGGACUCCCCAGUGCAUUUUCUCCCUGAGGCCCACGGACUCAGGCCCUGACACCAGAUCACCUGCUACUCUGAGGCCUCUGAAUGCCACUGAAAAAGUCACAAAAACACCGACCUGGAACCCUAGGAAUUCAGGCUGCUUGAUUUCAGUGACUUCUGAGAAAUACGAGGGGUCUGCAGAAA